rnacentral:rRNA from 1 species
UACGUAGGGCGCGAGCGUUGUCCGGAAUUAUUGGGCGUAAAGAGCUCGUAGGCGGCCUGUUGCGUCCGCUGUGAAAUCCCGGGGCUUAACCCCGGGCGUGCAGUGGAUACGGGCUGGCUGGAGGCAGGCAGGGGAGAACGGAAUUCCCGGUGUAGCGGUGAAAUGCGCAGAUAUCGGGAGGAGCACCGGUGGCGAAGGCGGUUCUCUGGGCCUGUUCUGACGCUGAGGAGCGAAAGCGUGGGGAGCAAACAGG